rnacentral:tRNA from 2 species
GCCGGCUUAGCUCAAUUGGCAGAGCAGCUGAUUUGUAAUCAGCAGGUUGCGGGUUCGAGUCCCAUAACCGGCUCCA